rnacentral:rRNA from 1 species
UACGAACCGUACGAACGUUAUUCGGAUUCACUGGGCUUAAAGAGUGCGUAGGCGGCUGGGAAAGUUGGGUGUGAAAUCCCUCGGCUCAACCGAGGAAUUGCGCCCAAAACUACCUGGCUUGAGGAAGAUAGAGGUAAGCGGAACUAAUGGUGGAGCGGUGAAAUGCGUUGAUAUCAUUAGGAACACCUGUGGCGAAAGCAGCUUACUGGGUCUUAUCUGACGCUGAGGCACGAAAGCUAGGGGAGCGAACGGG